UACAGAGGUCUCAAGCGUUGUUCGGAUUCAUUGGGCGUAAAGGGUGCGUAGGCGGCGCGGUAAGUCGGGUGUGAAAUCUUGGAGCUUAACUCCGAAACUGCAUUCGAUACUGCCGUGCUUGAGGACUGGAGAGGAGACUGGGAAUUUACGGUGUAGCGGUGAAAUGCGUAGAUAUCGGGAGGAACACCUGCGGUGUAGACGGCUUACUGGACCGUAACUGACGCUGAGGCACGAAAGCGUGGGGGAGCAAAACAGGG
rnacentral:rRNA from 1 species